UUGACGGGACCGCACAAGCGGUGGAUGAUGUGGUUAAUUCGAUGCAACGCGAAAACCUUACCCACCUUUGACAUGUACGGAAUCCUUUAGAGAUAGAGGAGUGCUCGAAAGAGAGCCGUAACACAGGUGCUGCAUGGCUGUCGUCAGCUCGUGUCGUGAGAUGUUGGGUUAAGUCCCGCAACGAGCGCAACCCUUGUCAUUAGUUGCUACAUUCAGUUGGGCACUCUAAUGAGACUGCCGGUGACAAACCGGAGGAAGGUGGGGAUGACGUCAAGUCCUCAUGGCCCUUAUAGGUGGGGCUACACACGUCAUACAAUGGAUGGUACAAAGGGUCGCCAACCCGCGAGGGGGAGCCAAUCCCAUAAAGCCAUUCGUAGUCCGGAUCGCAGUCUGCAACUCGACUGCGUGAAGUCGGAAUCGCUAGUAAUCGUGGAUCAGAAUGUCACGGUGAAUACGUUCCCGGGUCUU
rnacentral:rRNA from 1 species